rnacentral:tRNA from 1 species
ACCAAUUAAGUGUUUACUUGCACAUUGACUUUUCGCGUCAAAAGCACACAUCCGUGUACUUGGCU